GGCAGAGGCCUCAAGCGUUAGGCGGAAUCACUGGGCUUAAAGCGUGUGUAGGCGGAUCGUUAAGUGUCUUGUGAAAUCCCACGGCUCACCCGUGGAACGGCUGGGCAUACUGGCGAUCUUGGGCCAACUAGGGGCAACUGGAACAAGCAGUGGAGCGGUGAAAUGCGUAGAUAUCGCUUGGAACGCCGAAGGUGAAAACAGGUUGCUGGGGUUGUGCCGACGCUGAGACACGAAAGCCCAGGGGAGCAAACGGG
rnacentral:rRNA from 1 species